AAAUUGAAGAGUUUGAUCAUGGCUCAGAUUGAACGCUGGCGGCAGGCCUAACACAUGCAAGUCGAACGGUAACAGGAAACAGCUUGCUGUUUCGCUGACGAGUGGCGGACGGGUGAGUAAUAUCUGGGAAACUGCCUGAUGGAGGGGGAUAACUACUGGAAACGGUAGCUAAUACCGCAUAACGUCGCAAGACCAAAGAGGGGGACCUUAGGGCCUCUUGCCAUCGGAUGUGCCCAGAUGGGAUUAGCUAGUAGGUGGGGUAA
rnacentral:rRNA from 1 species